rnacentral:rRNA from 1 species
CGCACGAGAAGGGAGCAAUCCUGAGUAAAGUGGCGUACGGGUGAGUAACACGUGGAUCAUCUACCUUUUAGUGGGGAAUACCUCCGGGAAACUGGAGACAAUACCGCAUAAGCUCGUAAGAGGAAAGCCGAAAGGCGCUGAAAGAGGAGUCCGCGGCUGAUUAGCUAGAUGGCGGGGUAACGGCCCACCAUGGCGAAGAUCGGUAGCCGGCCUGAGAGGGCACACGGCCACACUGGCACUGAAACACGGGCCAGACUCCUACGGGAGGCAGCAGUGGGGAAUCUUGCACAAUGGGGGAAACCCUGAUGCAGCGACGCCGCGUGAGCGAUGAAGCCCUUCGGGGUGUAAAGCUCUUUCGACGGGAACGAUAAUGACGGUACCCGAAGAAGAAGCUGCGGCUAACUACGUGCCAGCAGCCGCGGUAAUACGUAGGCAGCAAGCGUUGUUCGGAAUUACUGGGCGUAAAGAGUGUGUAGGCGGUGUUCUAAGUCUGUUGUGAAAUCUCCCGGCUCAACUGGGAGGGUGCGGCGGAGACUGGAAUGCUAGAGUAUGGGAGAGGUAAGCGGAAUUCCUGGUGUAGCGGUGAAAUGCGUAGAUAUCAGGAGGAACACCUGUGGUGUAGACAGCUUACUGGACCAUGACUGACGCUGAGACACGAAAGCGUGGGUAGCAAACAGGAUUAGAUACCCUGGUAGUCCACGCCCUAAACGAUGCAUACUUGGUGUGAGCCAUUCAUUUGGUUCGUGC